GAUGAACGCUAGCUACAGGCUUAACACAUGCAAGUCGAGGGGUAACGAGAGGAAAGCUUGCUUUCCUUGUCGACGACCGGCGCACGGGUGAGUAACGCGUAUCCAACCUGCCCCCAACUAGGGAAUAACCUUGCGAAAGUAAGACUAAUACCCUAUAAUUUCCUCAGAUGUCAUCUGACGAGGAAUAAAGAUUUAUCGGUUGUGGAUGGGGAUGCGUCUGAUUAGCUUGUUGGCGGGGUAACGGCCCACCAAGGCAACGAUCAGUAGGGGUUCUGAGAGGAAGGUCCCCCACAUUUGAACUGAGACACGGUCCAAACUCCUACUGGAGGCAGCAGUGAGGAAUAUUGGUCAAUGGGCGGAAGCCUGAACCAGCCAAGUAGCGUGCAGGAUGACGGCCCUAUGGGUUGUAAACUGCUUUUAUACAGGAAUAAAGUUAGCCACGUGUGGUUAUUUGUAGGUACUGUAUGAAUAAGGACCGGCUAAUUCCGUGCCAGCCGCCGCGGUAA
rnacentral:rRNA from 1 species